rnacentral:rRNA from 1 species
GACGAACCGAGCGAACGUUGUUCGGAAUCACUGGGCUUAAAGGGCGCGUAGGCGGGCUGCCCAGUCUGGGGUGAAAUCCUCCGGCUCAACCGGGGAAGGGCCUCGGAUACUGGCGGCCUCGAGGGGGGUAGGGGCACCUGGAACUGUGGGUGGAGCGGUGAAAUGCGUUGAUAUCCACAGGAACUCCGGUGGCGAAGGCGAGGUGCUGGACCCCAUCUGACGCUGAGGCGCGAAAGCCAGGGGAGCGAACGGG